UAAAAGCUUGCUUUUGAAAGGUCAGCGGCGGACGGGUGAGUAACACGUGGGCAACCUGCCUGUAAGACUGGGAUAACUUCGGGAAACCGGAGCUAAUACCGGAUAAUAUAAGGAACCUCCUGGUUCUUUNNNNANNNNNGGUUUCGGCUAUCANUUGCAGAUGGGCCCGCGGCGCAUUAGCUAGUUGGUGAGGUAACGGCUCACCAAGGCAACGAUGCGUAGCCGACCUGAGAGGGUGAUCGGCCACACUGGGACUGAGACACGGCCCAGACUCCUACGGGAGGCAGCAGUAGGGAAUCUUCCACAAUGGACGAAAGUCUGAUGGAGCAACGCCGCGUGAGCGAUGAAGGCCUUCGGGUCGUAAAGCUCUGUUGUUAGGGAAGAACAAGUGCGAGAGUAACUGCUCGCACCUUGACGGUACCUAACCAGAAAGCCACGGCUAACUACGUGCCAGCAGCCGCGGUAAUACGUAGGUGGCAAGCGUUGUCCGGAAUUAUUGGGCGUAAAGCGCGCGCAGGUGGUCCUUUAAGUCUGAUGUGAAAGCCCACGGCUCAACCGUGGAGGGUCAUUGGAAACUGGGGGACUUGAGUGCAGAANANGAAAGUGGAAUUCCNAGUGUAGCGGUGAAAUGCGUAGANAUUUGGANGAACACCNGUNGGCGAANGNNACUUUCUGGUCUGUAACUGACACUGAGGCGCGAAAGCGUGGGGGAGCAAACAGGAUUAGAUACCCUGGUAGUCCACNCCGUAAACNNNNNNUGC
rnacentral:rRNA from 1 species